UUAAAUCUUAAUGUAAUUUUCCAUUUUUUAAAUUGGGUAUUUACUUAUAUUAUAUAUUUACUUUUUUUUUUUUAUAUUGUGUACUUCUAUUUCUUAUACUUUCUAUUUACUAAUAAUUUUAUAUUUUAAGAUAGAUGUUUAAAUACUAAUGUACUUUUUCCAUUUUUUUAAAUUGUGUAUUUCCUUUUCUUAUACUUUCUAUUUGCAUAAUAUCUAUAUUUUACAUUUUAUGAUAGAUGUUUAAAUCGUAAUAUACUUUUUCCAUUGUUUUUAAGUUGUGUAUUUCUUUUUCUUAUACUUUCUAUUUACUUAAUAUCUAUAUUUUAC
rnacentral:lncRNA from 1 species